UUUUGGUGAUGAUUUUGAUGACGAGGCUGAAGGGGCAGCGGCUUCCCCGUGCUGCCCGGCCCCCUGCUCGCGUUUUGCGAGCGUGGUCAUGGUACGCGGGGUCCCCCUGCCCCGUGCUCUGAUGCCAAAGUAACGAGGCAUUUGUCUGAGAAAC
rnacentral:snoRNA from 1 species